GCUUACGGCCAUACCACCCUGAGAACGCCCGAUCUCGUCUGAUCUCGGAAGCUAAGCAGGGUCACGCCUGGUUAGUACUUGAAUGGGAGACCGCCUGGGAAUACCAGGUGCUGUAAGCU
ensembl:rRNA 5S_rRNA 5S ribosomal RNA